GUGCCAGCAGCCGCGGUAAUACGGAGGAUGCAAGCGUUAUCCGGAAUUAUUGGGCGUAAAGCGUCCGCAGGUGGUUGAACAAGUCUGCUGUCAAAGCGCGGAGCUUAACUCCGUACAGGCGGUGGAAACUGUUGAACUGGAGUACGGUAGGGGUAGCGGGAAUUCCCAGUGUAGCGGUGAAAUGCGUAGAUAUUGGGAAGAACACCAGCGGCGAAAGCGCGCUACUGGGCCUGUACUGACACUGAGGGACGAAAGCUAGGGGAGCGAAAGGGAUUAGAUACCCGAGUAGUCC
rnacentral:rRNA from 1 species